GGAUAACUUACCCUUUAGGACUGGGAUAACUCUGGGAAACUGGGGAUAAUACUGGAUAUUAGGCUAUGCCUGGAAUGGUUUGCCUUUGAAAUGUUUUUUUCGCCUAAGGAUAGGUCUGCGGCUGAUUAGGUCGUUGGUGGGGUAAUGGCCCACCAAGCCGAUGAUCGGUACGGGUUGUGAGAGCAAGGGCCCGGAGAUGGAACCUGAGACAAGGUUCCAGACCCUACGGGGUGCAGCAGGCGCGAAACCUCCGCAAUGUACGAAAGUGCGACGGGGGGAUCCCAAGUGUUAUGCUUUUUUGUAUGACCUUUCAUUAGUGUAAAAAGCUUUUAGAAUAAGAGCUGGGCAAGACCGGUGCCAGCCGCCGCGGUAACACCGGCAGCUCGAGUGGUAGCUGUUUUUAUUGGGCCUAAAGCGUUCGUAGCCGGUUUGAUAAGUCUUUGGUGAAAGCUUGUAGCUUAACUAUAAGAAUUGCUGGAGAUACUAUUAGACUUGAAGUCGGGAGAGGUUAGAGGUACUACCGGGGUAGGGGUGAAAUCCUAUAAUCCUGGGAGGACCACCUGUGGCGAAGGCGUCUAACUGGAACGAUCUUGACGGUGAGUAACGAAAGCCAGGGGCGCGAACCGGAUUAGAUACCCGGGUAGUCCUGGCCGUAAACGAUGUGGACUUGGUGUUGGAAUGGCUUUGAGUUGUUCCGGUGCCGAAGGGAAGCUGUUAAGUCCACCGCCUGGGAAGUACGGUCGCAAGACUGAAACUUAA
rnacentral:rRNA from 1 species